rnacentral:rRNA from 1 species
AGCGAACGCUGGCGGCAGGCCUAACACAUGCAAGUCGAACGAAGACUUCGGACUUAGUGGCGGACGGGUGAGUAACACGUGGGAACGUGCCUUUAGGUUCGGAAUAACUCAGGGAAACUUGUGCUAAUACCGGAUGAGCCCUUAGGGGGAAAGAUUUAUCGCCGAAAGAGCGGCCCGCGUUAGAUUAGCUAGUUGGUGAGGUAAAGGCUCACCAAGGCUACGAUCUGUAGCUGGUCUGAGAGGAUGAUCAGCCACACUGGGACUGAGACACGGCCCAGACUCCUACGGGAGGCAGCAGUGGGGAAUCUUGCGCAAUGGGCGAAAGCCUGACGCAGCCAUGCCGCGUGAAUGAUGAAGGUCUUAGGAUUGUAAAAUUCUUUUACCAGGGACGAUAAUGACGGUACCUGAAGAAAAAGCCCCGGCUAACUUCGUGCCAGCCGCCGCUGUAAGAC